rnacentral:rRNA from 1 species
UACGGAGGGUGCAAGCGUUAUCCGGAUUCACUGGGCUUAAAGGGCGUGUAGGCGGGUUGUUAAGUCAGUGGUGAAAUCUCCAGGCUCAACCUGGAAACUGCCAUUGAUACUAUUUAUCUUGAAUAUCGUUGAGGUUGGCGGAAUAUAUCAUGUAGCGGUGAAAUGCAUAGAUAUGAUAUAGAACACCGAUUGCGAAGGCAGCUAACUAAGCGAUUAUUGACGCUGAGGCACGAAAGCGUGGGGAUCAAACAGG